rnacentral:misc_RNA from 1 species
UUACUUUUGAGAAACUGAGAUCCCCCCCACUGUAGGAAGAAAUAGAGUGGAGCAUUUAGAAUACUAGAUAGCAAUUAAAAAUGCUAAAAAUGGUUCUUUCUAGGGGAAGAAUUUGUACAGAUUCACAAAUAAGAUUUCUUCCACCUGCAGCUGAGGCUGCAGGAAGCUGAAGGAAAAGCAGAGAUAUGAAGGAGACUCAGAACAAUUGAAGGGCCAUUUUAAGUUUGUUCUGUUUCCAUUUUGGCAUCUUAUAAAAGGCAUCCUUUGCCAUCCCAAAUUUCUCCCUGAACUCUGCUGAUGAGAGGUAAGUCUCUCGCUUUGUCACAUCAAUUUCAGUAACAGGAUCUGUCGAGUUAAUUUUAAGGCAUUCAUAUGGAUAUAUUGGGAGCCCUUCCUCAUCUUCAGCUUCACCCUCCUUCACAUCCUCCUUUAUGGUGAGGGAUUCUAUUCUGUUGCUCAUAGAGUUCCCUUUAUUGUUUAAAUCAGGUGUUGAUUUUUCAGGAGUUGAUUUUGGAGUUGAUUUUGCUGCCGAUUUUGGCGUUGAUUUUGCUGCCUCAGGGCUCACUUUUACG